AGAGUUUGAUCAUGGCUCAGGAUGAACGCUGGCGGCGUGCUUAACACAUGCAGGUCGAACGAAGCUCCUUGCACGAUCUUUCGGGAAAGUGCGGGAUGACUGAGUGGCGGACGGGUGAGUAACGCGUGGGGAACCUGCCCUUGAGAGGGGGACAACAGCCGGAAACGGCUGCUAAUACCGCAUAAGCCUACGGAACCGCAUGGUUUUGUGGGAAAAGGAGGAAUCCGCUCAAGGAUGGCCCCGCGUCUGAUUAGCCGGUUGGCGGGGUAACGGCCCACCAAAGCGAUGAUCAGUAGCCGGACUGAGAGGUUGAACGGCCACAUUGGGACUGAGACACGGCCCAAACUCCUACGGGAGGCAGCAGUGGGGAAUAUUGCACAAUGGACGAAAGUCUGAUGCAAGCGACGCCGCGUGAGUGAAGAAGUGUUUCGGCAUGUAAAGCUCUAUCAGCAGGGAAGAAAAUGACGGUACCUGACUAAGAAGCCCCGGCUAACUACGUGCCAGCCGCUGC
rnacentral:rRNA from 1 species